rnacentral:rRNA from 1 species
UACGUAGGGGGCGAGCGUUGUCCGGAUUUAUUGGGCGUAAAGAGCGUGUAGGCGGCCAGACAGGUCCGUUGUGAAAACUAGAGGCUUAGCCUCUAGACGUCGAUGGAAACCGUUUGGCUAGAGUCCGGAAGAGGAGAAUGGAAUUCCUGGUGUAGCGGUGAAAUGCGCAGAUAUCAGGAAGAACACCCGUGGCUAAGGCGGUUCUCUAGUACGGUACUGACGCUGAGACGCGAAAGCGUGGGGAGCGAACAGG